rnacentral:rRNA from 1 species
AACGAACGCUGGCGGCAGGCCUAACACAUGCAAGUCGAACGCCCCGCAAGGGGAGUGGCAGACGGGUGAGUAACACGUGGGAACCUUCCCAACAGUACGGAAUAGCCCAGGGAAACUUGGAGUAAUACCGUAUAUUCCCGUGAGGGGAAAGAUUUAUCGCUGUUGGAUGGGCCCGCGUCGGAUUAGCUAGUUGGUGGGGUAAUGGCCCACCAAGGCGACGAUCCGUAGCUGGUUUGAGAGAAUGACCAGCCACACUGGGACUGAGACACGGCCCAGACUCCUACGGGAGGCAGCAGUGGGGAAUCUUGGACAAUGGGCGCAAGCCUGAUCCAGCCAUGCCGCGUGAGUGACGAAGGCCUUAGGGUUGUAAAGCUCUUUUGCCGGGGACGAUAAUGACGGUACCCGGAGAAUAAGUCCCGGCUAACUUCGUGCCAGCAGCCGCCGCGGUAA